rnacentral:rRNA from 1 species
CUUAUUUUAAUAAUAAGAGCGACGGGCGAUGUGUACAUAUUUUAGAGCUAAAAUCAAAAUUAUAAUCUCUUUAAAUUUACUAUCAAAUCCACUUUCAUUAAAAAUUUCAAAUUUAAAUUCAUAUAAAUAUUUUUAUUGUAACCCAUCACUACUUAAAUAUAAACUACACCUUGAUCUGAUAUAAAUUCUAUUUAAAAUUUAAGAAAAUUAUUAUUCUAAUAAAAUUUUCUAAUAACAACGACGGUAUAUAAAUUGAAAAACAAAUUUAAGUAAGGUACAACGUGGAUUAUCGAUUAUAGGACAGGUUCCUCUGAAUAGACUAAAAUACCGCCAAAUUUUUUAAGUUUCAAGAACAUAACUAUUACUACUUUAGUAUUUAAUUAUACAUUUUAAAUAAUA